rnacentral:rRNA from 1 species
CACGGGGGUUGCGAGCGUUGUCCGGAAUUACUAGGCGUAAAGGGCAGGCAGGCGGAUCCAUAAGUUUAUCAUUUAAGGCGUCGGCUUAACCGGCGUAGGGCGGUAGAUACUGUGGAUCUGGAAUGCGGUUGGGGAAGACAGAAUUCCUGGUGUAGCGGUGGAAUGCGCAGAGAUCAGGAGGAAUACCGAAGGCGAAGGCAGUCUUCCAAGCCGUUAUUGACGCUCAACUGCGAAGGUGUGGGUAUCAAACAGGAUUAGAUACCCCCGUAGUCCCUGAG